UACCAGCACCCCGAGUGGUCGGGACGUUUAUUGGGCCUAAAGCAUCCGUAGCCGGUUCUACAAGUCUUCCGUUAAAUCCAGCUGCUUAACAGAUGGGCUGCGGAAGAUACUAUGGAGCUAGGAGGCGGGAGAGGCAAGCGGUACUCGAUGGGUAGGGGUAAAAUCCGUUGAUCCAAUGAAGACCACCAGUGGCGAAGGCGGCUUGCCAGAACGCGCUCGACGGUGAGGGAUGAAAGCUGGGGGAGCAAACCGG
rnacentral:rRNA from 1 species